UAGAAAGCCAGUCCUUUGGUGAACCAUAAACUAAUUGUGCGGCGCGCGCUUGUUUUCGUUGAGUGAUGCGAUGCUAUUUGACCACCAAUUUGUUAUUACGUGACCUCAAGAACGCCGCAACAUUUCGCCAGGCCAAAUCGAAAGAAAUCGGAAUUUAAGUGCAGUAAAACAAGACUUGCUAUUGGUGGCAAGUGAUCUCAGGCAGCCGCAAUGCGAUUUGACCGCCGGAUCGGAACACACGAAAUCGAAAUCGCCUGAGAUGCCAAGGGGCUUGCCGGCGCGAAUCAGCAAGUGCGACUACUAGGACAGCCCCAAGGGAGCCACGCGAGAAACCAUGUCGGGCGGACGUGAUAGCAGCAACAGCAGCGGGAGCAAUUCUGCUGCGGCAGGAGCCAGUACGAAUGCCACAUCCUCCGCCUCCUCCACAUCCACAUCCGCCUCCCCUGGAAGCACAACAUCGCCCGCGUCCACGCAACGGCAACGGGGAAGACCGGCCAAACGGGCCACAUGCACCUGGUGCGGCGAGGGCAAGCUACCGCUGCAGUACGUCCUGCCCACGCAGACCGGCAAGAAGGAGUUCUGCUCGGAAACAUGCAUCGCCGAGUUCCGCAAGGCGUACAGCAAGGGGGCGUGCACCCAGUGCGACAACGUCAUCCGUGAUGGGGCGCCCAACAAGGAGUUCUGCUCGAUCAUGUGCAUGAACAAGCAUCAGAAGAAGAACUGCUCGACCAGGCACAGCGGCGGAUCGUCAUCGGGCAAGGGUCUGGCGGAGAACGAGCGCAAGUUGCUGGCCAGUGGAGCGCCCGCACCAACAGGGCCCUUUCAAUACGAGAGCUUUCACGUCUUCGACUGGGAUGCCUAUCUAGAGGAAACGGGUAGCGAAGCUGCUCCUGCAAAAUGUUUCAAACAGGCUCAGAAUCCUCCCAACAAUGAUUUUAAAAUCGGCAUGAAGCUGGAGGCUUUGGAUCCACGCAACGUCACUUCCACCUGCAUUGCCACCGUGGUUGGAGUGCUUGGCUCCAGACUGCGGCUACGCCUGGAUGGAAGUGACUCACAGAAUGACUUUUGGCGACUGGUCGAUUCCACGGAGAUCCAUGCCAUUGGACACUGUGAAAAGAACGGUGGCAUGCUGCAGCCGCCUCUGGGAUUCCGCAUGAAUGCAUCCAGCUGGCCCGGUUAUCUGUGCAAGAUCCUUAACAAUGCCAUGGUGGCGCCAGAGGAGAUCUUCCAGCCAGAGCCCCCUUCGCCAAAUGAAAACCUGUUCAAGGUGGGCCAGAAACUCGAGGCUGUCGACAAGAAGAACCCGCAGCUCAUUUGCUGUGCAACAGUAGAUGCAAUCAAGGAUGAUCAGAUCCAUGUAACAUUUGAUGGAUGGCGGGGGGCAUUCGACUACUGGUGCAAUUACCGAUCGCGUGACAUUUUUCCCGCUGGUUGGUGCGCUAGAAGUUGCCACCCCAUGCAGCCACCAGGCCAUAAAUCGCGCAUGGACUCCAGCUCUAGCAAACAGCGAUGCCCUCGACCCCGCUACACCGUUGUAGCUGAAUCAGAGGCUAUGGUUCCCGCUUCCCCCGCCACGGCCCACUUCCAUCCCAACUGCAAGGGCGGUCCGUUCAUCAACAAUUCCAAGCUGCCCUGCAUGGUGACGGGGCCCACCUACCAAACGCUGGCCAAGUUGUGCCUACAGGAGGUUCUAGCAGCCAGCACGGAUACGCAACAGCUCUCGAAGUUGCUGUUUGCCCUGGAAGGAGAUGUUCACAUCGUGACGGCGGCGGGGAAAAAUUUCACAGUAAAAAUACCAUCGCCAAUGCGAAUGAAGGAUGACGAAAGUCUGGCCCAAUUCAUCGAAACACUGUGCACUACAUGCCGAGCAUGUGCGAAUCUCAUUUCCUUGGUCCACGAGACGGAGGAAUGCAAGAAAUGCGCGAAUAGUCGGAAGCGUCAACUGACUCAGUCAGCCACACCGCCUUCCUCGCCAGUGCUUGCCGACAAGCGAAACCGUCAGUCCAACUCGGCAACGUCACCUCCCUCUGAGAAGAUUAUCAAGCAGGAAGUGGGUGUAAUAUCGCCAGUGGAGAACAAGUCAAAAACUCCGACAAACAAUGGCAAGGAGCCUGAAAACCAGCAAAACAACCACAGUCUUAACAAUAACAACAACAGUGCCAGCAAGUCCAGCAACAAGGUGGUCAUAAAGUCGGAGCCCAACGGAGCGACCGCGCAGACUUCCUCCACAACGCAGGCACUGCGGAAAGUACGCUUCCAACACCACGCAAGCACGAAUAGCUCUGCGACAAACGGAAACCAGGAUACGAGCCAGACCACUCACGUUUCUACCAGCCAUUGCAGCAGCUCGUCAACGUCGUCCAGCACGAGUCUUGCCGGUGGAUCAGCGAACACCAGCACAAUUGGCAAAUACCUGGCGCCUCUUGUGGCGGAAGUUCAUCCAGAGCAGGCCAAUGUGAAACCCUCGAAUAGCUACUACAAGAGUCCGACGACGCUCUCCCGAUCGACUGGUCCAUCGAAGAGGUGAUCCAGUACAUCGAGAGCAACGACAACUCACUCGCAGUUCAUGGUGAUCUCUUCCGAAAGCACGAAAUCGAUGGUAAAGCUUUAUUAUUGCUAAAUUCAGAGAUGAUGAUGAAGUACAUGGGCCUGAAGCUAGGACCAGCCUUAAAAAUCUGCAAU
rnacentral:misc_RNA from 1 species